CUUGAUCGAGCCCAGCAGCAGCGGCCGCGUCCGGUCCUGCCCGUAGGCCGCCAGCAGCGCCUGCGCCUC
rnacentral:antisense_RNA from 1 species